GGAGAGAUGCAGGAGUGGUUUAACUGGCAGACCUGGAAAGUCUGUGAGCUCGCAAGGGUUCCGUGGGUUCGAAUCCCACUCUCUCCGCCA
rnacentral:tRNA from 1 species